rnacentral:rRNA from 1 species
AUUGAACGCUGGCGGCAGGCCUAACACAUGCAAGUCGAGCGAGGGGCGGACGGGUGAGUAAUGCCUGGGAAUUGCCCAGUCGAGGGGGAUAACAGUUGGAAACGACUGCUAAUACCGCAUCCGAUAGGAAUGCCUAGGUGGGAUUAGGUAGUUGGGGAGGUAAUUGCUCACCAAGGCGACGAUCCCUAGCUGGUCUGAGAGGAGGAUGAGCCACACUGGAACUGAGACACGGUCCCGACUCCUCCGGGAGGCAGCAGUGGGUAAUAUUGCACAAUGGGGGAAACCCGGAUGCAGCCAUGCCGCGUGUGUGAAGAAGGCCUUCGGGUUGUAAAGCACUUUCAGCGAGGAGGCGUUACUCGCAGAAGAAGCACCGGCUAACUCCGUGCCAGCCGCCGCGGUAAUAC